rnacentral:rRNA from 1 species
GACGAACGCUGGCGGCGUGCUUAACACAUGCAAGUCGAACGGACAGGCCUUUUCGUAGGUACUCGAGUGGCGAACGGGUGCGUAACACGUAGGUGAUCUGCCCUGCACUCUGGGAUAAGCCUGGGUAACUGGGUCUAAUACCGGAUAGGGCCGAACUUUUGAGUGUGAGGGGGAAAGAUUUUUCGGUGUAGUUUGAGCCCGUGGUCUAUCAGCUUGUUGUGGGAGUAAUGGCUUACCAAGGCGCCGACGGGUAGCCGGACUGUGGGUUUGGGCGGCCACAUAGGCUCUGAGGGGCGGCCCCGACAGCGACGCGAGGGAGCAGUGCGGAAGAUUGAACGAUCGGCGCAAGCCUGGUGCAGCGGCGCCGCGUGGCGGAUGACGGCCUUAGGGUUGUAAACUCCUUUCGCCAGGGACGAAGCGUUUUGUGACGGUACCUGGACAAGAAGCCCCGGCUAACUACGUG